GAUGAACGCUGGCGGCAUGCCUAAUACAUGCAAGUCGAACGAGAGGAAGGAAAGCUUGCUUUUCUGAAUCUAGUGGCGAACGGGUGAGUAACACGUAGGUAACCUGCCCAUGUGCCCGGGAUAACUUCUGGAAACGGAUGCUAAAACCGGAUAGGUAGCAGACAAGCAUUUGACUGCUAUUAAAGUGGCUAAGGCCAUGAACAUGGAUGGACCUGCGGUGCAUUAGCUAGUUGGUGAGGUAACGGCCCACCAAGGCGACGAUGCAUAGCCGGCCUGAGAGGGCGGACGGCCACAUUGGGACUGAGACACGGCCCAAACUCCUACGGGAGGCAGCAGUAGGGAAUUUUCGUCAAUGGGGGGAACCCUGAACGAGCAAUGCCGCGUGAGUGAGGAAGGUCUUCGGAUCGUAAAGCUCUGUUGUAAGAGAAAAACGACAUUCAUAGGGAAUGAUGAGUGAGUGAUGGUAUCUUACCAGAAAAGUCACGGCUAACUACGUGCCAG
rnacentral:rRNA from 1 species